UACGUAGGGGGCUAGCGUUGUCCGGAAUCAUUGGGCGUAAAGCGCGCGUAGGCGGCCCUGUUAGUCAGCUGUAAAAGUCAAAGGCUCAACCUUUGAAUGGCGGUGGAUACUGCAGGGCUAGAGUCCGGAAGAGGCGAGUGGAAUUCCUGGUGUAGCGGUGGAAUGCGCAGAUAUCAGGAGGAACACCAAUGGCGAAGGCAGCUCGCUGGGCCGGUACUGACGCUGAGGCGCGAAAGCGUGGGGAGCGAACAGG
rnacentral:rRNA from 1 species